AUGGCUCUACCAGCUGAAUACUGUCGUCUGUAUUGUCCGCCAACCGCCAUGUUCGAAUUUGGCAAGAACUUUUUGCCAAGAAGUUUCUCUCGGUCUGCACGGUGUAUAAGGAAUUAAGGAUUAUCGAAAUGGUGAUUUCUUGUUCCGCUUUCAAUUGUACGCAGCGAUGGAGUAAGGAAAGUGACUUACCAUUUCCCAGGUUUCCUCUAAAGCACCCAGAGCUGCUAAAGAAGUGGAUUACUUCCGUGAAGCGGAAAGGUUUUAAUCCUACGUCUUGCAGUCUUCUUUGCGGAAACCAUUUCCGACAAGAUGAUUACGUACUGAGCCCUGGAACGUGGAAGAAACGUCUCAAACCCGAAGCAGUGCCAUCAGUUAUUGACUUUCCGACACAUUUCAUGCCACCAAAUAAACAGCCACGGCGACAUGUUGUUAGGAUUUUGAGUGACAACUAUUCAUCUCCAUUUGAGCGUUCUGUCAUGGAAUCCGUGCUCGAUUUGCCCCCUGCAGAAGCUACUGAUAGCGUGGAGAAUGUUGUCAAUGAGAAUUCUUCCGUGGAAAGCACGUCCCAUUUAUCCAAUGCAGAAGCUGCGAAUUGUGUCGAAAACGCUAGUAUAAUGAUGUUUUCACAACCCCAGUUUUCUUAUAAUAUUUUUUCAUCAAGCCUUGAGUUAUUUCAUUCAUAUAUAACGAAAUUAUUUCUUUAUUUCAGAGUGCAGUUGGUUCUUCAGUAAUUGGUUGUGGUAUACAGUCGAAAGUAGAAAUGGAAGACUAGGCGACCGAAACUUGCUAUUUUUUCUCAGGCAUUGUGCACGAAUUAAAACGCAAACCGAAGUGCGUCCGUGAAAAACUUCGAAGAAGAGAAAAGAAAGUGUUUUCCAUGGAUGACAUCACAAGUUCAUUGAAGGAGAAGGGGCAUCUUCCUGAGAAGUUACAUAACUUCCUCAAUCAUCAGGAAGGAACACAAGUGGAAUUAGUGUGCAAUUUAGUGAACAAUUCUCUCUCGUCAAAGGGUAAUACACAACAAAUGUGAAAAAUGCUUGUGAUGACUGUGUACUUUUAUUCACCAGCAGCAUAUGAAUACCUGCAAAAGUUAAUGCCCCUGCCCCAUAAAUCAUUCAUUUCCAAAUGGGUGGCAAGUGUUUUUAAGUACAUUGAUUUAAAUCCAAUUGUAAGGGACCAGUUCAGCGACUCAUGUCUAAUUGUAGACAGUAUGGCAGUUAGGAAGCAAAUAGUUUGGGACCAAGGAACUAAGCAAUACACAGGUUUUUUAGACUUUGGUGGGGAAGUGCCUCAGUCAAAAGAAGUAAUAGAGGCAUCUGAGGCUCUGGUUUUCAUGCUUGUCUCUAUUAAAGGCAAAUUUAAAUGCCCGAUUGCAUAUUUCUUUAUAAACGGUGUACAUGCAAUUAAUCAGGCCACACUGAUAAA